UACGUAGGGUGCGAGCGUUAAUCGGAAUUACUGGGCGUAAAGCGUGCGCAGGCGGUUCGUGAUGUCUGGUGUGAAAGCCCCGGGCCUUAACCUGGGAAUUGCAUUGGAAACUAGCGGGCUGGAGUGUGGCAGAGGGGGGGUGGAAUUCCACGUGUAGCAGUGAAAUGCGUAGAGAUGUGGAGGAACACCGAUGGCGAAGGCAGCCCCCCUGGGCUAACACUGACGCUCAUGCACGAAAGCGUGGGGAGCAAACAGG
rnacentral:rRNA from 1 species